AUAAUACACGCAGAAAACACUUUUAUGGAGUGCAUUCGUGUGCUUUAACACACACGAGCACGUGACAAUGAUUUGUUAUCCUAUUUUGAAACUGUAAAAGAAGACCCCAAAUAACCGGUCAAGGGUUCAUACACUUAUCGAAAUAAAAACACCAAAAAACUUUAAGCCAAUCGAAUUAGCAGGAUAAUUUAUCGGUAUGUUCGGACUUUAUGUUUAUUUAUUAUGUAAAAUCUAGAUAUUUCCGAAAUAAAUCCGCCAUUAUCUGAGUAUCAUCUGAAGCGAGUUAGGCUCCCCUCUCUAUGAUUUCCCCUGGGAAAAACAACAUAGAAAAUGCAUUAACUGAAAUUUUGCCUUAGUACAAAGUGAAAGAAUUGAAAUUUGAGAAGAGACAAAUUUUGGAAAUCAAAGAUUGCAUGGUCAGGCUUCCAACAUGCUUCAAACGGGCUAUGGAAAGAGUUUACAUACCAGAUAUCUGCUACCCGAUAAUCAAGUCUGCAUUCAAAGGAGCAGACAUUCUUCCCUGGUCUAUAUACCGGUAGCUUCAUUGAAAGGAAUCAGACACAGAAAGUUUGGGGAAAUGAAAUUGAGAGUCACUGUGAAUAAUUCACACACAUGCUAGACAUAAAGAAAUGGCCAGACACAGGCUCAGCUAUAGAAUCUGUAUCAACUGGAAGCAACAGCAUUUUCAUCAGAAAACUAAAAAGGAUGUGAAAAACAUGAAACAUGCAUUUGGAAAUGUUCAGCUGCCAAACAAAUAGAUAUGCCAGGAAAUGCAAAUUGUUUGCUAAUAUAAAUGUCAAUGAUGUCUGUACAAAAGCAAAGAUAUAAAAGCCUUUUUCAUUUAUACAUGUAACAGUCAUAUACAAUACAGAUUUAAGACCAUCAGACAAUCUUUAAAUCUUUGGAAGCCACAGUACCUAGUCCAAGACAUUCCAUAUUUUCAACUCGUUAUGAAGACAUAUUUGACCAAUCUGGUUUCCAUUUAUAGAAGUUUAAAAAUAAGUUCUACAUGUACAUGACAUGAUGAUCACCAUCAAUGAAGGUGAUAUAGGAUAUAAUAUUCAAAGUAGAGAAGUAUAAAGUGAAUUUGAACCUCCCACCAUAAUAGCAUUCUGCACAUUUUGGAUCACAUAUGGAUCAAGCUGUUGUACUUGUGAACUAAAAGAUUGUUGCUUGGUUGUUUUCAGGUACAUUGUACAUGUUGACAGUGCUAUACGUCUAUUAAAUAAAAUGCAGUUCAGAACAGUUA